AGAAUUUCAGCUUUGGGUGCUGACGGUGG
rnacentral:piRNA from 1 species